AAAAAAAAAAAGAGCAAAUAGGUAAAAUUAAAAAAAAAAAGGUUUAUAGGUAAACCUUUAAAAUAGAUUCCAAAAUCUUUGGUGACCUGAAAGUUAAGACUGACUCUGAAUGAAACAGGAAACACAGGAAAUUGUAGAAGGGAUUUCUGAAGGAGAAUUUUUGAAAAGGAAUUUUAGGCAUGGUCAGGACUGAAAUCGGGAGAAGUGAGUUUUACAAGUACACUGGUAUAAUAAGAUUGAGAUUUGGCUUUUCUCUCUGUCAAAACAAAGUUUUCUUGCAUUGUUAGUCUACUCUUGAUAAGAAAUUAUGAACAGAGAAGAAAAGACAAUUUUUUUCUUUACCUACCCAGAACAACAAGGUUCUUAUAUUCAUUUUUAUCCGGUCUUUACCUACGUAAGAAAGUGAAAACUUCUCAAUAUUAAAGGAGCUACAUUUGGUGACAACUCUAUAACCUCCUGUAGAAUCUCCUAGAGCCACCUUGGUGAAACGGGUAUUGUUCUGAUGCUCUUGCAAAAAUAUGGUCCAGCUUCAAGAAGAUGCACGAAAAGCACUUUUAACAAAUACCGGUUUCUGGUCACCCUAAGAUCAUAAAACUAAAGUAUGAAUUUCCAGAACUAAUGAAAAAGUUGCAUUUAAACAGAAAAAGUAAUAACAUGGAACUGAAUGACUUAAGGAAAAUGAUGAUUGGUUUGUUUGUUUCUCUGUAUGGAAAAGGAUGACCCUUUUGAAGGAUUCUUGUUCAAAAUAUUGUUAUCCCCUCAUGUUUGCUCUUCCAGAUUGAAGGAAACUUUUUCUCUUGAGAUAUCUAUAACUUACAGAAAUCUUAUGAAAAUGUUACUUUGUAAACAAAUUAAAAUACUUAUCUUGUCUCUCUACCUAUAACCCUCCAGAAUUCAGAAACUCUCAGUGAAUAUUCUUUCUUUCAUGGCAACAGUAAAUCAUCUGCGUAAA